GACGAACGCUGGCGGCGUGCUUAACACAUGCAAGUCGAACGGAAAGGCCCUGCUUUUGUGGGGUGCUCGAGUGGCGAACGGGUGAGUAACACGUGAGUAACCUGCCCUUGACUUUGGGGUAACUUCUGGAAACUGGGGCUAAUACCGGAUAGGAGCUCCUGCUGCAUGGUGGGGGUUGGAAAGUUUCGGCGGUUGGGGAUGGACUCGCGGCUUAUCAGCUUGUUGGUGGGGUAGUGGCUUACCAAGGCUUUGACGGGUAGCCGGCCUGAGAGGGUGACCGGCCACAUUGGGACUGAGAUACGGCCCAGACUCCUACGGGAGGCAGCAGUGGGGAAUAUUGCACAAUGGGCGGAAGCCUGAUGCAGCAACGCCGCGUGCGGGAUGACGGCCUUCGGGUUGUAAACCGCUUUCGCCUGUGACGAAGCGUGAGUGACGGUAAUGGGUAAAGAAGCACCGGCUAACUACGUG
rnacentral:rRNA from 1 species